rnacentral:rRNA from 1 species
GACGAACGCUGGCGGCGUGCCUAAUACAUGCAAGUUGAGCGAUGAAGAUUGGUGCUUGCACCAAUUUGAAGAGCAGCGAACGGGUGAGUAACGCGUGGGGAAUCUGCCUUUGAGCGGGGGACAACAUUUGGAAACGAAUGCUAAUACCGCAUAACAACUUUAAACAUAAGUUUUAAGUUUGAAAGAUGCAAUUGCAUCACUCAAAGAUGAUCCCGCGUUGUAUUAGCUAGUUGGUGAGGUAAAGGCUCACCAAGGCGAUGAUACAUAGCCGACCUGAGAGGGUGAUCGGCCACAGUGGGACUGAGACACGGCCCAAACUCCUACGGAGGCAGCAGUAGGGAAUCGUCGGCAAUGGACGAAAGUCUGACCGAGCAACGCCGCGUGAGUGAAGAAGGUUUUCGGAUCGUAAAACUCUGUUGGUAGAGAAGAACGUUGGUGAGAGUGGAAAGCUCAUCAAGUGACGGUAACUACACAGAAAGGGACGGCUAACUACGUG